UACGUAGGUGGCAAGCGUUGUUCGGAAUUAUUGGGCGUAAAGGGCGCGUAGGCGGUUUGUUAAGUCGGCUGUGAAAGCCCGGGGCUCAACCCCGGAGGGUCAGCCGAUACUGGCAGACUAGAGUACGGAAGAGGUAGCUGGAAUUCCCGGUGUAGCGGUGAAAUGCGUAGAUAUCUGGAGGAACACCGGUGGCGAAGGCGGCAUUCUGGACCGAAACUGACGCUGAGGCGCGAAAGCCAGGGGAGCAAACGGG
rnacentral:rRNA from 1 species